GCCGGUGGAACUACAUCCUUUUAAGAUCGAGGUUGCGGGUUCAAAUCCCGUCGGCUCCA
rnacentral:tRNA from 1 species